UUUUGGAGGCGCAAUGUCUGGUGCCACGCAGCCGCGGUAAUUCCAGCUCCAAUAGCGUAUAUUAAAGUUGUUGCAGUUAAAAAGCUCGUAGUUGAAUUUCGGGGUUAGUAGGUUGGUCAUGCCUCCGGUAUGUACUGAUCUCACUGAUUCCUCCUUCCUUAUGAACCGUAAUGCCCAUUAAUUUGGUGUUGCGGGGAAUUUGGACUGUUACUUUGAAAAAAUUAGAGUGUUUAAAGCAGGCAAU
rnacentral:rRNA from 1 species